GCUAUUCUAGACAGUCUUGUGGAAACAUUAGCAGGUUCGCCACCUGUAGGUGUUAAUGAACUUGGGUGUUCAUUCGCUGUACUCCAUCCCCCUCAUGGUUGCCUUAUUUGACUUAUAUUGCUGAGGUACCCCCGAAGCAUGUGUUGUCGCCCCGAUGAAAUAUUCUUAGACUAGGUCCCUUAUGUUAGUUGUUUUAGGGACAUUAAAGUGAGAAUAACGGGAAUGGGUAAUUGGGUUAUUGUUGGUUGGUGAAAAUUAAAUAUGAUAUUUAUUGUGGGUUGAAAACCCUAUAUGCUCACCAGGCUCCCAAGCCUGACCCACUCAGUUUUAAAUUGUAUUACAGGUAGUGGCGGAAGGGCAUGAGAUGGAUGAACCAUCAAGUUGUUUUGUUUACAAGUCUGCAUAUGUUUAUAUUUGUUAUAUGACUUGUAAUGUAUUCGUUUAUGCUUAUUGGUCUGUAUCGGAACAUGACACCCCGAGUUUUGAUUAUAAUGAAAAUACAUUUCUUUUAUGAAAUGCUUCGGUAAACAAUGUUUUAUCAUGUUUUGUUUUUGGGAACAAAUUCCGCAACUCUUUCAAAUCAAAAGGAUUUACUCUGAAAAUAUUUAAAAGCAUAAAUGAAAAUCGGUCUUUUCUGGCCGAGAUUUUGGGGAUGUCACAGUUGGUAUCAGAGCAUUAGUUUAAGCGAACUAGGAAUUUGUAGGAUUUCUAGACUUAAACUUAGAAUGCUAAGUGAAGUUUUGAGAUGUGUGUCUGUUGUGAUUUAGACACGAGCACUAGUUUAUUUUAGGAAAGUUGCCUAAAAUGCUUUAUGUGCUAAAUGUUAUAUGUUGCCAUAUAUGAUAUUAUUUGUUCGGAUCUAUGGUCUGUUGCCGACCGGAUCUAGAAACCUUAUGUGUGUAGGAUUCUAAGCGUACGUCUACGAUAUUAGAACUAGCAUGUAAACGUUUCGGAGUGAUAAGGAUGAUUUGAAUAUCUAUCAUGAUUGAGGAUCUAAUUUCACCUUAUUCGGUGUAGAUCAAAAUGGUGAGAACAAGAAGUGGAGUUGGAAAUGCUGACGAAAACAGGAAUCAACCACCAGUGAUUGAGCCAAUACCUGUCGUAGCAGCAGCACCUGAGCCAAUAACCAUGGCUGGUGUGCAAUUGAUGAUUCAGACGAUGUUGGAUCGUCAGAUGGAUGAAACUAGACGGUUGCUUCAACAAAAUCGUGAAGAACUGUCGAUUCGUGUGGAAGAGCCUGAACUGAAUGAAGGGCACUCGGAAGGUGGAAACUUCAGUGGGUCUGUUGGUCCAGCCAACCCACCGAUAGUUAGGCAAGAUAACCAUGAUGGAAGGAAUGAUGGAAUGGGAUGCAAGUACAAGGACUUUUUGACUUGUAAACCAUCGACCUUCAAUGGAAAGGAGGAUCCGAUUGGGGUUAUGGAUUGGAUCUCCGAAAUGGAGUUAGCCUUUAUGACAUGUGGCUGUAGAGGCAAGUUGCAGACUAUCUAUGCCGUGCGACAAUUCCGAGGUGGAGCCGUUCGUUGGUGGAACACUCUAGGGAAGACCUUAAGCCCUAAUGAGCCACUGCAAUUGUCAUGGGCAGAGUUCUUGGUGCAGUUCAAGCGCAAGUUCUGCUCGGCUCAAAAUCUGUUGGAGUUGGAGAACAAGUUUUUGACAUUGACGAAGGGUAGCAUGUCAGUGGAUGAGUACACCAAUAACUUCACCGAUAAGAUGGAGUUUGCCUUGCGUAUCGUUCCAGACGAGCUGACAAAGGUGGAUCGGUAUGCGAAGGGACUUCCAUGGGAGUACGAGGUGCCGGUACGUCAGGCACUUACUCUAGAGGCAGCUAUCUGGGCUGCCAAGUCUGUGGAGAACAUGAUCAAGGGGAGAACCACCGUCAAGGUUGAGGUUGGUGAGAAAAGGAAGUUUGAAGGAACAUCUGGUUCCAGUAAGAAGAGCAAAUUUUCGAAAUCUGAUUCGAAAAAGUUUGGAGGAAAAGGAGGCGAAGCAAAGUGGUGUGAUAAGUGUAAGAAAAAGCACUUUGGGAAAUGUAGCGAGGAUGUGACCUGCUACAAGUGUGGAAAGGUUGGACAUUUUGCCAAUGAAUGUCCGAACAACAAAAGGAUGUGUUUUGGGUGUAAUGAAGAGGGGCAUAUUUUGAAAGACUGUCCGAAGAAGAAGGAGGCAGCUAGGCCCAACAUUCCACCAAAGCCGAAGGCGAGAGCCUUCCAGAUGACACUUGAGGCUGCGAAAGAUGAAGCUGAUGUCGCUUCAGGUACCUUUCUCGUAAACGAAUUACCUGCUCAUAUAUUGUUUGAUUCUGGAGCCAACUACUCCUUUAUUUCGCAUGAGUUUGGUAGAAAGCUAGCUUUGCCUGUUGAUAGACUAGAUAAUGCUUUAUUAGUCGAAGUAGCUAGUGGCAAGUUUGUACCUGUUAGCCAUCGUAUGAAAAACGUCUUGAUCGACCUUAAUGGGAAUAAGUUUCUCGAGGAAUUAUUGCCUAUCGAACUAAAUGGUUUCGACAUCGUCUUGGGAAUGGAUUGGCUUAGCGCCAAUGAUGCCGAAAUUUUGUGCAAGAAGAAGAUAGUUAAAGUAAACCCGCCUGGGAAAGAUUCGUUUAUGGUGUAUGGGGACAAACGCAGAGUGAAUUCUGGAAUCAUUUCUCUAAUGAAAGCCAGAAAGUGUUUGACCAAGGGAUGUACAUCAUAUUUAGCAUUCGUGAUUGAUGCUAAGAAAGAAAAGAAGGUGAUGCAGAGCAUUCCAGUGGUGUGUGAUUAUCCGGAAGUAUUUCCCGAGGAUCUUCCUGGAUUACCACCUGAUAGACAAGUGGAGUUCAGAAUAGACUUGUUACCAGGAACCACGCCAAUAGCAAAAGCACCUUAUCGAUUAGCACCGACGGAGAUGAAGGAGCUGAUGAUGCAACUUCAGGAGUUAUUGGACAAAGGUUUCAUUAGACCUAGUUCAUCGCCCUGGGGAGCUCCGGUGUUAUUUGUAAAGAAGAAAGAUGGAAGUAUGAGAAUGUGCAUCGAUUACAGAGAGCUGAACAAGGCAACAAUAAAGAAUAGAUAUCCGUUGCCGAGGAUUGAUGACCUGUUUGAUCAAUUGCAAGGUUCGAGCUAUUUCUCGAAGAUCGAUCUUAGGUCAGGAUAUCAUCAGCUGAAAGUAAGAGAGCAAGAUAUCGAGAAGACUGCAUUCAGAACUAGAUAUGGACACUACGAGUUCUUGGUUAUGUCGUUUGGACUAACCAAUGCUCCAGCAGCGUUCAUGGAUUUGAUGAAUAGGGUUUGUAAUCCUUUCCUUGAUAAAUCCGUGAUAGUGUUCAUAGACGACAUUCUGAUCUACUCGAAAAGCCAGGAGGAGCAUGGCAGACACUUGCGAGAAGUGUUAGAAGUUUUGAAGAAGGAGAAGCUUUAUGCGAAGUUCUCCAAAUGUGAUUUUUGGAUUCGUGAGGUCCAAUUCUUGGGUCACGUGGUCAACCAAGAAGGGAUAAUGGUUGAUCCAGCGAAGAUCGAAGCUGUGACGAAGUGGGAACAACCGAAAAGUCCCACGGAGAUUCGAAGCUUUUUAGGAUUAGCCGGAUAUUACCGAAGGUUUAUCCAAGGCUUUUCUUCGAUUGCUACUCCAUUAACAGCUUUGACCCACAAAGGAGCUACUUAUGCUUGGAGUGAGAAGCAUAAAGAAGCAUUCGAGAAGUUAAAGAAGAAGCUAUGCGAGGCACCGAUACUUUCUCUACCCGAUGGAGUUGAAGACUUCGCUGUUUAUAGCGAUGCGUCUGGUGUUGGAUUGGGUUGUGUUUUGACCCAAAGAGAAAAGGUGAUAGCAUAUGCGUCUCGACAGCUGAAAGAGCAUGAAAAGAAUUACCCGACUCAUGAUUUGGAGUUGGCAGCGGUAGUUUUCGCUCUGAAAAUAUGGAGGCAUUACCUCUAUGGCACGAAGUGCAAACUUUUCACUGAUCAUAAGAGUCUCCAAUACCUCUUUAAUCAGAAAGAAUUGAAUAUGAGGCAACGACGCUGGCUAGAAUUACUUAAAGACUACGACUGCGAGAUACUUUACCACCCCGGUAAAGCUAAUGUUGUUGCUGAUGCUCUCAGUCGGAAAGUCAAUCUUGAAAGGAAGAGGCCAAGAGCGUUGAGAAUUGAAGUUGUCUCGACUAUUGUGGAAAGUAUAAAGAAAGCUCAAGAGGAAGCUUCUGAGAAAAAUGACCGAAAGGAGGAACGUUUGGGUAAAACGUUGGUGUUUGGUACUAACGGUCAUGGACUGAAGGUAUUCCAAGAUCGUAUUUGGGUACCUAAGUCAGGAGGAAUUAGGGAUCUUCUGAUGGAAGAAGCUCACAAAACCAUGUACUCAAUUCAUCCGGGUAGCACUAAAAUGUAUAGGGACCUGAAACCCUACUACUGGUGGCCGACGAUGAAGCUUGAUGUUGCAAAGUAUGUGGCCGAGUGUGUGACUUGUGCGAGAGUCAAGACACAACAUCAGAAACCUUACGGGAGUUUAGAACCAUUGCCUGUGCCUAUGGGUAAGUGGGAAGACAUUGCUAUGGAUUUUGUCACUAAACUGCCCAGAACAAAGAAUGGUCACGACAUGAUUUGGGUGGUCGUUGAUCGAUUCACUAAGAGUGCGCAUUUCAUAGCGGCCAGGGAGAAAUGGUCUAUGGAAAAGCUUGCGAAUUCUUACGUGAAGGAAAUUGUGAGGCUUCACGGUGUUCCGUUAACGAUUGUAUCGGAUCGUGAUAGCCGUUUCACCUCAAGGUUUUGGAAAAGUCUACAAGAGGAAAUGGGUACCAAGUUAUGUUUAAGCACAGCUUACCAUCCGCAGACUGAUGGUCAGAGUGAAAGAACAAUACAAACACUUGAAGAUAUGCUGAGAGCAUGUACCUUGGAAUUCCUAGGUAAUUGGGAUGAACAUUUACCGUUGGUAGAAUUUUCCUAUAAUAAUAGUUUUCACUCGAGCAUUAAGAUGGCACCUUAUCAAGCUUUGUAUGGACAGAAGUGUCGUACGCCGUCUUGUUGGCUUGAGGCUGGGGAAAAGCAGUUUAUGGGACCGGAGAUGGUUCAUCAAACUGCUGAAAAGUUGAAAAUAAUUAGGGAAAGAAUGUUAGCAGCUCAAGAUCGUCAAAAGAGCUAUGCUGACAAGAAGCGAAGACCGAUGACUUUUGAGGUUGGAGAUUCGGUUUUGCUUAAAGUCUCGCCGUGGAAGGGACUUAUAAGAUUUGGUAAAAGGGGAAAGUUGAGUCCAAGGUUUAUUGGACCGUUUAAAGUCCUUCAGAGGAUUGGGAAUCAAGCUUACAAGCUCGAAUUACCCGAAGAACUGAAUGGAAUUCACAACACCUUUCAUGUGUGUUAUUUGAGGAAGUUCACGGGAGAAGUUCCCGAUAUAAUUCCAAUUUCUGAAUUGAGAAUUGAUGAGAACAAAAGGUUGAUUGAAGAACCAGAGGCAAUUGUUGACCGAAAGACUAAGAAGUUGCGACGCAAAAUGGUUGGGUUAGUGCUUGUCCGAUGGAAACACACGAAUGGGCCGAAUCUCACCUGGGAGACGGAGAGUGACAUGUUGAGUCGCUAUCCGCAUUUGUUUGUUGAUGUGUGAUUCCGGGGACGGAAUCAUUCUAAGGUGGAGAGAAUUGUAACGCCUGUGUUUCCGGGCUUGCCAUUUUUAGCAAUGUAAUAGUCUAGGUUAACCUUUGUAACCCGUUUUGAAAUAAUAAGAUUGUAUUAUUUGAGUAUUAUGUGUUUUGUGCUUAAUUGCUUAAUUAUGUGGUUUGAUUAAUUAAGAAUAAAAAUAAGCGUCAAAAUUUAAGUGUAAAAUAAACUUAAUAUCUUUGGUUAAUGUUGUAGUAGUUGAAACGAGGUUUCCGAAUAUAUAUAGAACGCCCAAAUCUGACUUCGUAUGAGGAAGUUAUGAUUUAUCGAAGUUCCGGCUUAGCGAUAUACAGCCUGUUUUACUCGAUUUGAGAUCGAGCGGUUGUUAGCCGAAGCAAUCUAAAUGAGAAUCGAAGAUCUCAUUGUUGGUAUUGAAACGAUAAAAAGUUAGGCGAGAACGGACGUCAAACGAAGAAGUUAUGAAUUUAUAACGAAAGUUUCUGUCCCGGCCUAUUAAAAAUAAUUAAUAAAAAUAAAGUCAAAAUUAGCCGACGGAGUCUAAACGAAAGUCGUAGAGCGUGGUCUCACCUUCGCGUGGAUAUAAAGAACGUCGAAAACGGAGUUCGUAUGAAGAAGUUAUGAAUUUCCGAAGUUUAUUAAUCAUUUUGUAUUUAUUUUUAAUUCAAAAUUCGGAAGCAUUAUCCGAAGGAGUCACCGAUCUGAUCCGAGGUACGCCCCGCGUACUCGAGUACGCCCCGCGUACUCCGAGGGAUGUCGACACUCGCACUCGAGCACUUCGGAUACGUAAGCAAUGACGUUUUGGGCAGUACGCCCCGCGUAACGCAGUACGCCCCGCGUACUCCGAGGCUCCAGCCUCCUAUAAAUAGGAUGCGAGGGUUCCGGGUAUUUUUGCCAAUUCCCUCUCGUUUUCGUGUCGAAGCUCUGUGCAAAAACCCCCGAAGCUACCCCGAAGUCCCGGUAUCAUACUCUAGCCCCGAGGCAAGUCCCGAGAUCCUGAAGAUCCCGAAAAGUGCGGUUCCCGAGUCGAAGCUCUGCCCGCGAGAAGUUCGAUUUUCGAGAAGAUCUUCCAGAUCUGCUGUGGAUUACUACUUCUAUAAGCCGUAGUGCUGUCCGAUCAUCUUCUGAUCAAGUGAGUGUGUAGUUAUUUCUUCUAAUACAAUAAUACGAAGUAUUUUAUAUAAAAAUACGUGCUAUGUGUAUAUAUUUGGUUGUGUUAUGUGUGAAUGAGUAUUCACUCUCUUCUAUCUUAUAGAUCUGCUUAUUUCUUUAUGAGAUAUGUGUUAUGUGUGUGUGUGCCUCAUCUGUUAUGUGAUAUAUGUGUUGAUUAAAGCAUGCUAUACAGGUUUUCUUUAAACUAUGUAUACAAAUGUAUAUUUUUAUCUACUAAUAUGUUGGGUAGAACAUGGGUAGACAGUUGGUGUGUAAUAAACAGAUGAGAGGCCUCGUUGUUGUUUGAUUGAGUCAUCUAGCGGAGUUUAGAUGACGACCACUGGCUAUUCUAGACAGUCUUGUGGAAACAUUAGCAGGUUCGCCACCUGUAGGUGUUAAUGAACUUGGGUGUUCAUUCGCUGUACUCCAUCCCCCUCAUGGUUGCCUUAUUUGACUUAUAUUGCUGAGGUACCCCCGAAGCAUGUGUUGUCGCCCCGAUGAAAUAUUCUUAGACUAGGUCCCUUAUGUUAGUUGUUUUAGGGACAUUAAAGUGAGAAUAACGGGAAUGGGUAAUUGGGUUAUUGUUGGUUGGUGAAAAUUAAAUAUGAUUAUUUAUUGUGGGUUGAAAACCCUAUAUGCUCACCAGGCUCCCAAGCCUGACCCACUCAGUUUUAAAUUGUAUUACAGGUAGUGGCGGAAGGGCAUGAGAUGGAUGAACCAUCAAGUUGUUUUGUUUACAAGUCUGCAUAUGUUUAUAUUUGUUAUAUGACUUGUAAUGUAUUCGUUUAUGCUUAUUGGUCUGUAUCGGAACAUGACACCCCGAGUUUUGAUUAUAAUGAAAAUACAUUUCUUUUAUGAAAUGCUUCGGUAAACAAUGUUUUAUCAUGUUUUGUUUUUGGGAACAAAUUCCGCAACUCUUUCAAAUCAAAAGGAUUUACUCUGAAAAUAUUUAAAAGCAUAAAUGAAAAUCGGUCUUUUCUGGCCGAGAUUUU
rnacentral:lncRNA from 1 species